UACGGGGGGGGCAAGCGUUGUUCGGAAUUACUGGGCGUAAAGGGCUCGUAGGCGGCCAACUAAGUCGGACGUGAAAUCCCUCGGCUUAACCGGGGAACUGCGUCCGAUACUGGAUGGCUCGAGUGUGGGAGAGGGAUGCGGAAUUCCAGGUGUAGCGGUGAAAUGCGUAGAUAUCUGGGGGAACACCGGUGGCGAAGGCGGUUAGCUGGGCAGUUGCUGACACUGAGGCGCGACAGCGUGGGGAGCAAACAGG
rnacentral:rRNA from 1 species